rnacentral:lncRNA from 1 species
AGAAAGAGAGUAAGAGGAGAGAGAAGCUCUGAAGGUGAAAGCCCAAGAAGGUGUUCUUGAGCUAUGAAGGUCCAUCUUCUUCCUUCUUCUCCCUUUCAGCCAACCUUCUGCCUCCCUGCGAGCUAGCACUCCCCGGAAAGCUGAUCAUUCCGGAGCUUCGCGUGGACGAGUCAUCGAGGCUGGACGCUUGUGCGGCUGCAAAGCAUCCUUGAAGGAACCUCCUUCUAAAGGUAAGAGAUAUGAUCUCUUUUACGGUUGAGAUAUGAUCUCAAUCUUCAAAUCACAAGAAGUUGUGAUUUAUGCAUAUUUAUUUGAAUCACACAAUCCUCGGGAUCUGAGGGCUUUGUGAUAUUUGGUGUCAAAGCAAAGGAUUAGUGGAGACUAUCCGAUUUCCGAAAACUCUCACGCGUGAUCGUGUGACGAAGCGUGGCUCUCCA